AUUGAACGCUGGCGGCAGGCCUAACACAUGCAAGUCGAGCGGAGCGGCGGACGGGUGAGUAAUGCCUAGGAAUCUGCCUGGUCGUGGGGGAUAACGUCCGGAAACGGGCGCUAAUACCGCAUCCUAUCAGAUUAGCCUAGGUCGGAUUAGCUAGUUGGUGGGGUAAAGGCGUACCGAGGCGACGAUCCGUAACUGGUCUGAGAGGAUGAUCAGUCACACUGGAACUGAGACACGGUCCAGACUCCUACGGGAGGAAGCAGUGGGGAAUAUGGGACAAUGGGCGAAAGCCUGAUCCAGCCAUGCCGCGUGUGUGAAGAAGGUCUUCGGAUUGUAAAGUACUUUCAGCGGGGAGGCGUUACCCGCAGAAGAAGCACCGGCUAACUCCGUGCCAGCAGCCGCGGUAAUUC
rnacentral:rRNA from 1 species